rnacentral:lncRNA from 1 species
CCAGAGUUCUCACGCUCGCCAGAGUUCUCGCGCUCCCCAGAGUUCGCGCUCGCCAGAGUUCUCACGCUCCCCAGAGUUCAAACUCACCAGAGUUCGCGCUCGCCAGAGUUUUGGCACUCGCCAGAGCUCCCUUGCUCGCCAGAGUUUGCGCUCACCUGAGUUCUCUCUCUCACCAGAGGUCGCACUCACCAGAGUUCCCGCGCUCGCCAGAGUUCGCGCUCACCUGAGUUCUCACGCUCGCCAGAGUUCGCACUCACCAGAGUUCCCGCGCUCCCCAGAUUUCUCGCGCUCCCCAGAGUUCGCACUCACCAAAGUUCACGCUCCCCAGAGUUCUCAUGC